rnacentral:rRNA from 1 species
GGCGUCAGGACGAACGCUGGCGGCGUGCCUAACACAUGCAAGUCGAACGAAGCACUGUGGAUGGAGACUCGGUCAACUGAAACUUUGACUUAGUGGCGGACGGGUGAGUAACGCGUGAGGAACCUGCCUUUCAGAGGGGGACAACAGUUGGAAACGACUGCUAAUACCGCAUAAUGCAGCGAGACCGCAUGAUCUUGCUGCCAAAGAUUUAUCGCUGAAAGAUGGCCUCGCGUCUGAUUAGAUAGUUGGUGAGGUAACGGCCCACCAAGCCGACGAUCGGUAGCCGGACUGAGAGGUUGAACGGCCACAUUGGGACUGAGACACGGCCCAGACUCCUACGGGAGGCAGCAGUGGGGAAUAUUGCACAAUGGGGGAAACCCUGAUGCAGCGACGCCGCGUGAAGGACGAAGGUCUUCGGAUCGUAAACUUUUUGUCUUCAGGGACGAUAAUGACGGUACCUGAGGAGGAAGCCACGGCUAACUACGUG